CGUUCAUAUCAAGUUGAAAUAUCAGUUCUCGUUCGAUCACCGAAGUUAAGCAACGUUUAACCAGAUCAGUACUCAGAUGGGUGACCGCUGGGGAAUAUCAGGCGCCGUAA